UACGGAGGAUGGAAGCGUUAUCCGGAUUUACUGGGUGUAAAGGGCGUGUAGGCGGUUUCGCAAGUCAGAAGUGAAAUUCCCGGGCUUAACUCGGGCGCUGCUUCUGAAACUGCGGAACUUGAGUGCUGGAGGGGAUAGCGGAAUUCCUAGUGUAGGGGUAAAAUGCGCAGAUAUUAGGAGGAACACCGGUGGCGAAGGCGGCUAUCUGGACAGUAACUGACGCUGAGGCGCGAAAGCGUGGGAGCAAACA
rnacentral:rRNA from 1 species